GAUGAACGCUGGCGGCGUGCCUAAUACAUGCAAGUCGAGCGAACAGGCGAGGAGCUUGCUCCUCUGACGUUAGCGGCGGACGGGUGAGUAACACGUGGAUAACCUACCUAUAAGACUGGGAUAACUUCGGGAAACCGGAGCUAAUACCGGAUAAUAUAUUGAACCGCAUGGUUCAAUAGUGAAAGACGGUUUUGCUGUCACUUAUAGAUGGUUCCGCGCCGCAUUAGCUAGUUGGUAAGGUAACGGCUUACCAAGGCAACGAUGCGUAGCCGACCUGAGAGGGUGAUCGGCCACACUGGAACUGAGACACGGUCCAGACUCCUACGGGAGGCAGCAGUAGGGAAUCUUCCGCAAUGGGCGAAAGCUUGACGGAGCAACGCCGCGUGAGUGAUGAAGGUCUUCGGAUCGUAAAACUCUGUUAUUAGGGAAGAACAAAUGUGUAAGUAACUAUGCACGUCUUGACGGUACCUAAUCAGAAAGCCACGGCUAACUACGUG
rnacentral:rRNA from 1 species